GGGGAGGGGCGCUGCCUUCCCGGGGGGCUCGGGGCGAAAGUUUCACCUCGGCUGCUCGCUGGGGUGAGCAAGGAGCGCGGAGCCCGGGAUGGAGAGAGCGAGCUCUGGUUCCUGAGGCCUCGCUCCCGAAAAGCCCCAGUAGAAGAACGUACGAAGAGCCAUGAAAAUGGAGACUUGCUCCUUCCUGCACCUGUGAUCCCUCCAUGGCCCAGGACGCCUCAAUACCAUGUCCUGCCCCUGUGAGGGGCCCUAUCUAGCCCAGACCCCCUCAGCCCAUGGCCCCCAGCCCUGCGGGGGUGGGUGGGAAGGGGUGAUUUCCUAGCUGCUGAGGAGGAGGUGAGAGGGGACGAGAGGUACGGCAGAUCCCCACCACCACCACGCCGCCGUCCUGGGCUCUUUUCACAUUGUGCUACUGUCUGAGCCCCUGCCAAGCAGUGCAAUGUCAAAAGGGCGUCGGGCAGGCGGUGCCAGCAGCGCCUGACCCAGUGCCUCCACCACUCUGCCUCUGGGGGUCUGGGAGAAGGAGGGCAGAGUGAGGAUCUGCAGGGGGACACAGACUACCCUUCCCAGAGUGGGGCAGAGGAGGGGAUGAGGGGGGUACUGUGCUCAUGGCAGGGGGCUUUGAUGCUGAGGAGGGGUGCUGGGCUUGGGGCAGGGGUUUCAGGAACUCAGUUGCCUAGCAACCUAAUGAGCUUGUUUGGUUCAAUAACCCUAAGUGACUGACUGUGCUCCCUGAUUGAACUGAAGGGCCAUCAGGUCACCAAUGAACCCCUGUAGCUCCAGCAGCACAGCGGCUGCUCAAUGCAUUCCAUGUUCCCAGCUGUGCCAGACCCGCUUCCUGCUGGCCCUUGCCCCACUCGUUGCAAGCUCCACAACAGCUCUUCCCUUUGGACUCCUGCCCCCUGGCUCUGACUAAUGGCUUGUCCCCUGGCCACGACUCCGCUUCUGCCCUCUGAUUCUGCUCCAACCACUAGGCCAGACUCCUUCUCCGACCCCUUGGUCUCACCACCUACACCUGGGCAUGUGACAGUUUGCUAGAAGGUAGCAGGGGCUUUGCCACACAGCACGGAGCUUCUGUCCAGAAUGGCCCCAGCAGGAGUUCACCCCACCUUUGCAGACGUUGUUGGAGUCCUGCAGGAACUGCAGGCUCAAGUUGCCUUGCUGCAUGACCAGAAUGGGCCCUCCGGGCCCAGGUUCAAGCCCAGGCAGUGUCUUCUGUCCCCACAACUCUUGCAUCCAUUUUCCGUGAGCCCGAGUUGCCCCUACCCAGUAAGUUGGAGGGGGAUUGUGCCAAAUGUCAUGGGUUCCUUAACCAAUGUCGUCUCCAGUUCAUGUUGUGGCCAGUUGGACCUCACAGCUCAAUUCCAAGUGGGAUUAGUUCUCAGUCUGCUUCGAGGAGAGGCCCUGACAUGGGUGUCCCCUUUCCUGGAAGGGAGCAGUCCUCUCCUUGAACACUGCGGGAGCUUUGUACGGGCUGGGGUGGGCGUCUCCAUGGACCCUAAUGGAGAAUGGACAGCAGAAGCUGCUCUCCACGCCCUCUGGCAGAGGGUCGGGUCCGUCGCAGCAGAAUGCCAGUGUCUGGCCACAGACACUCACUGGAAUGAGGCUGUGCCGUGACACCACUUUAGGCAGGCACUCCACAAUUCUGCCAAAGAUGAAUUAGCACAGGUGGAACCUCCGCCUAGUCUAGCAGCUUUAAUUGGGCUUUGCAUCCAGAUUGAUGGUCGACCAAUGGAGCAAGCUCAAGAAAAGCAACAGGCCACCUGACCCCCGCUGCCCAGAACGCUCCCAUCUCCUGCAGUCCCAGUUGUCCUACCAGAUCCUGAACCAAUGCAAGUUGACCAAAUCCUGACCCACCUUUCCACUGCUGAAAAGAACUGUCGUCAGUGCCGAUGAGCAUGCUUUCCAACUCUAGUGAAUGGCUAGUCACAUUCUGUGGCAUGCUCCAGCCCUCGAAGGAUCCAGAACUGCCAACCAAAGUUUCAUUGGCAGUGCCCGGGAUUCCUGCCGAGUACAUAGAAUAUGCCGCGGUAUUUGACAAACAGAAGGCAGACGCUCUACUUCCUCAGCACACUUGAUGAUUGCACAAUUGACCUUCAACCAGGAACAGGAGUUCCUUUUGGGUGCAUUUACACCUUAUCUGCACCCCAGCUGCAGGCCCUCCAGGAGUACCUUGAGGAAAAUCUGGGGAAGAGGUUCAUUGUCCCUUGACUUCCCGAGUGGCAGCACGUCUUCUUUGUGGCUAAGAAGGAUGGCUCCCUCCCUUAUAUUGAACCUUUAACGAGAUCACAGUCUGCGACUGAUGCCCCUUUUCAUAAAUAAACUGGAAAGAUUCUCAGUCAGGUCUUCACAAAGCUAGACUGGUGUGGGGCAUACAACCUGUCAGAAUCCAGCAAGGGAAUGUGUGAUGCUGACAGACCAUUGGCCAGCUCAUGCCAAGGCCCUUAGAUCUCAACUGAACGCUGGCAAAUAUGUAGCUGGAACCAGUCUGGCUCACCCAUGUGCUAAUAUUGUUAAAGUAGGUAUUAGAGUUAUAAAAAUGUGUUGCUGCAUGCGCUAAUCUAAUCUAAUAUCUGUAUCCUAUGUUACAAGGUAACAAAUACAACAAGGAGUCCUGUGGCACCUUAAAGACUAACAGAUUUAU